AGACGCGAUAGCUAGCUCUCUGCAACUGUCACAUGGUCAUUCACUGAAGCUAAGCAGGGCUGUGGCCGAUCAGUACCUGAAUGGGAGACCACAUGGGAAAGCUAGGCUGCUAGGUUUU
rnacentral:rRNA from 1 species